AAUAAUACCUACCGUUAAUCAAAUUCCUACUGAUAACUAACCUCACCUGCGAGAACUAGUUAUUGGGUAAUCCAAGAGUUAUUAACCCUUAAUGGUCUAAGCAGUUUAUUCUCAUGUCAAGAUGGCACGAAAAUUUAACAAAAAAUUAAAAUGGGUUUUAGAGUUUUGUUGGGUUUGUUCGUCAUUAAGUGGACAACUCCAUCCUUAGCAAAAUUCUCUGCAAAUUGGGGUAUACUUGGAUGAAUUUGACUGUGUUGUUGUUCUGUAGUGCAGUAUUUGAACUAGUGUCUGAAGUUGAGUUUGUUUAGACUCUUCUUUUGUGUUCUGUUGGUUUGGAACUUUGGAUUAGCUGGCUCCCAGCCCUGGAGCCAGUUUAGUCUUGGGUUGUAAUCUUUGUCCUUAGUUCAAUGAAAUCCUGAAUGAUUGAGUAUGCUAGGUUUAGAAGUUAGUUGUUAAAAAGCAACUUAUCAUUCAGGAAAGUGGUUGGAAACAUUGUUAUUUGUGUUAUGUUGUUUAUUUGGGAUAUUAUGUAUGCUUGUGGUGUUAGAUUUUUAUUUCACUCAUAUUAUACAAUAAUGUCACAAUCAAAAUUUUACCUUUAUCAUUAUAAAAAUUUUAAAAAUGAUAAUUUCAUUGAACAAUGAACAUCAAGUUUUGUUUAACUUUUAGGGCAAACAAACCUAUUUGGUUUAGAGGCUAACAAUGAAGAAAACCGAUUACCCGGUUUCCAAUUCAACCAAAACAAAGUUCGAGGACAGUGAUGAACACGAAUUGUCCUCUUUUGAACAUGAGGAUAGAGAUGAACAUGAAUUGUCGUCUUUGGAAGAUGAGAAGGAGGAGGAGGAGGAGGAGGGAAUAGAGCGUGAACUGGUAGAUGUGACAUUUGAACAAUUGCAAAAAGUGCGUUCAGAUGGGUCGCAUUGGGUCUGUAAAAAGCCGAAUCAAGAAAAGGAAUCCGGGCUGGCAAACAAGAAUAGGCCGAUGAAGGCGAGUUGCAAGAAGCCGGUUGGAAGGCUUAGAGAGGUGGUACAAAUUCCUAAGAGGGAAGAACAGAAGAAAUUAGACAAAUCCAAGGAUCCAUAUGCCGUCAACAGAUUUAAACACAGCAUAGUUUGGAUGGAGAGGUAAUCUUCCUGCUGAAAGAGAGAAACUGCGGAAGCAAUUAGCAAAAUCAAAUGAUGCAGAAAUCGUUGAUAAAUUAAAGAAAAAAAUCUCUUGGAUUGAUAAGCAGUUGAAGUCUAAGUCAGUUCAGCAUACUAAUGUAGCAAUUCUGGCUGAGCAUAAGAAGAAACAAGGAGAAUCAGCAAAGAAAGGGAAAUAACCAUUUUAUCUCUCAAAAAGCAUAGUCAUCCUUCUCCAUCUCCAUCUCCACCUCUCUUUCUCUCUAUAAAUAUAUAUGUGCGUUUGUGUGUGUGUCUAUGCUUCUCAAAAGGAUAUCUAACGCAAUCAGGAGUGCAAUGGGACAAGGAUUCAAUUUUAUUGUACAUUGAAGCCUUAGUUUAUUACAAGGAAAUAGGGGAAAAACCUCUUCUAGGGUUCUUACUCAAACAAACCCCAAGUUCUUAAGAGAACUUUUAAGUUUUAACCCAAAAACAACUCUUUUUUUGUUUUGUUUUUGUUUUAAUUGAUAAUAAAAGUCAAGAUGUUACAAGUGUAGGGAAUUAACCCGAAUUCCCAACCUGUGAGAAA